UUAGCAUACGGGGGGCAGCAGUGAGGAAUAUUGGUCAAUGGGCGAGAGCCUGAACCAGCCAAGUCGCGUGAGGGACGACGGCCCUACGGGUUGUAAACCUCUUUUGCCGGGGGACAAACGGCGGCACGCGUGCCGUCCUGAGGGUACCCGGAGAAAAAGCAUCGGCUAACUCCGUGCCAGCAGCCGCGGUAAUACGGAGGAUGCGAGCGUUAUCCGGAUUUAUUGGGUUUAAAGGUUGCGUAGGCGGGAUGCCACGUCAGCGGCCACAUACGGGGGCUCAACCUGCGGCCGCCGUUGACAC
rnacentral:rRNA from 1 species